GAUGUGCUGGUGUGACAGCAGCUGGGCUGAGGGCACCGCGUUGGUCACAGCACUGGGCCUUAAAGUAAAAUGCCAGAGGAUCGGUACAGGCAAACUCCUGCUGUCCUGCAUGGCAGUUCGGUUUGGUGGAGACACUGUGCCAAAAGGUGUGAAAUAAUGUAAUAUGACUUUUUUUUUUCUUCUUCUUCCUCCUGCAGUCCUUUCAGUUGGAUUUCCUGACUUUAAAAGCACUUCUCACUCUCCUGCCAGUUCAGUUGCUUAGGAAUUCGGUUGCCUUUGGAACAAGGCAUGGCUCCCCCAGCUGCUCCUGGCAGGACAGAAUGUUGGACCCACAUUUUCAUCUUUGCGUAGUGGAGGGAUUGGUGAUGGUUAAAGAUGUUCCAGGGUAGAUGAUGCCAAAGCCCAGAGCAGGGCAUCCCAGCAGCCCUCAUGGGAAAAGGGACAACUGAUGUGGCCAGGGCGGGUCACAGGAGCACUGCUUCAGGGCCAACUCCACAGCACAGGGCCACUUCAGCACAGGGGCAUCCGCCACACUGGGGAACAGGAACAGGAACCUACCCCAUCCCAGCGAGGGAAGAACCUCUGCUGUGUGCAGCAGCCCCACACCCCCACUGCUGGCAGCACUGCUGCUGGCUGCGUGCCACCCCGGGACCCACAAAGGGGAAGUGGCUUCUGUGAGGGUCCCUUCAAACAAGGGCGCUCUUGUCUGAGAGAAGGGAAAAAAACAAAACGGGUUCUGAUAACGCAGAGAGCGACCUGCAGGAAAGCAGACCUGCUGACAGAGAUUUUUGCUUCCGGACACCUUGGCCGGGAAGCUGUGGCGAUUGCUUUGCCUUCUUCCCUGACUCCUGCAGGUCCUGCUCACCUCUGGCACGGCCACACCAGCAAUAGGACUGCUGGUGUGAGGUGGGGUGGGAUGAUAGCACUGUGCCCAGAGUGGCAUCUGCUGUCCCACUGUGCUCAGCAUGAAGCUUUUGCACUACUGCAUCCCUGCCUGCAUCCCUGUUGCUUCCCUACUGCAUCCCUGCCUGUAUCCCUACUGCAUCAUUGAUGCUUCCCCACUGCAUCCUUAGUGCAUCCCUGUUCCAUCUCUGCUGCUCCCCUACUGUAUCCCUGUUGCUUCCUACUGCAUCCUUGCUGCUUCCCUACUGCAUCCCUGCCUGCAUCCCUGUUGCUUCCCUACUGCAUCCCUGCCUGCAUCACUGCUGCUUCCCUUCUG
rnacentral:lncRNA from 1 species